rnacentral:rRNA from 1 species
AACGCUGGCGGCAGGCCUAACACAUGCAAGUCGAACGGUAMCAGGAAGUGCUUGCACUUCGCUGACGAGUGGCGGACGGGUGAGUAAUGCUUGGGAACUUGCCUUUGSGAGGGGGAUAACAGUUGGAAACGACUGYUAAUACCGCAUAAUGUYUACGGACCAAACGGGGYUUYGGCUCCGGCGCARAGAGAGGCCCAAGUGAGAUUAGCUAGUUGGUAAGGUAAAGGCUUACCAAGGCAACGAUCUCUAGCUGUUCUGAGAGGAAGAUCAGCCACACUGGRACUGAGACACGGYCCAGACUCCUACGGGAGGCAGCAGUGGGGAAUAUUGCACAAUGGGGGAAACCCUGAUGCAGCCAUGCCGCGUGUGUGAAGAAGGCCUUCGGGUUGUAAAGCACUUUCAGUUGUGAGGAAAAGUUAGUAGUUAAUACCUGCUARCCGUGACGUUAACAACAGAAGAAGCACCGGCUAACUCCGUGCCAGCAGCCGCGGUAAUACGGAGGGUGCGAGCGUUAAUCGGAAUUACUGGGCGUAAAGCGCACGCAGGCGGUUUGUUAAGCUAGAUGUGAAAGCCCCGGGCUCAACCUGGGAUAGUCAUUUAGAACUGGCAGACUAGAGUCUUGGAGAGGGGAGUGGAAUUCCAGGUGUAGCGGUGAAAUGCGUAGAUAUCUGGAGGAACAUCAGUGGCGAAGGCGACUCCCUGGCCAAAGACUGACGCUCAUGUGCGAAAGUGUGGGUAGCGAACAGGAUUAGAUACCCUGGUAGUCCACACCGUAAACGCUGUCUACUAGCUGUUUGUGACUUUAAGUCGUGAGUAGCGAAGCUAACGCGCUAAGUAGACCGCCUGGGGAGUACGGCCGCAAGGUUAAAACUCAAAUGAAUUGACGGGGGCCCGCACAAGCGGUGGAGCAUGUGGUUUAAUUCGAUGCAACGCGAAGAACCUUACCUACACUUGACAUGCUGAGAACUUUCUAGAGAUAGAUUGGUGCCUUCGGGAACUCAGACACAGGUGCUGCAUGGCUGUCGUCAGCUCGUGUCGUGAGAUGUUGGGUUAAGUCCCGCAACGAGCGCAACCCUUGUCCUUAGUUGCCAGCCUUAAGUUGGGCACUCUAAGGAGACUGCCGGUGACAAACCGGAGGAAGGUGGGGACGACGUC